rnacentral:rRNA from 1 species
AGAGUUUGAUCAUGGCUCAGGAUAAACGCUGGCGGCGCACAUAAGACAUGCAAAUCGAACGGAAGUCGUUGUAAUGAAAUGGAAAUGGACAGAGAACUUGUUCGAAGAAAGUUGAAGUAGACUUACAACAAUGGCUUUAGUGGCGGACUGGUGAGUAACGCGUAAGGAACCUGCCUUUUAGAGGGGAAUAACAAUGAGAAAUCAUUGCUAAUACCGCAUAUGCCGAGAGAAUCACAUGGUACAAUCGGGAAAGGAGCAAUUCGCUAAAAGAUGGCCUUGCGUCUGAUUAGAUAGUUGGUGGGGUAACGGCCUACCAAGUCGACGAUCAGUAGCCGGACUGAGAGGUUGAACGGCCACAUUGGGACUGAGAUACGGCCCAGACUCCUACGGGAGGCAGCAGUCGGGAAUAUUGCGCAAUGGAGGAAACUCUGACGCAGUGACGCCCCGUAUAGGAAGAAGGUUUUCGGAUUGUAAACUAUUGUCGUUAGGGAAGAGAAAGGACAGUACCUAAGGAGGAAGCUCCGGCUAACUACGUGCCAGCAG